GUCAAUUGCUCAUGGGGGACAGAGUCCAUGUUUCCUGUCUGAACUCUUGUAUGAGUGUCUUCAAAAAGGUCCGGAUAAUGUAAAGGUCAAAACUGAACAUAUUACUGAUGAAGAAACAAGGUCACAGGUGCAAUCGAUCCUACAAGCUGAGACUGAAUCACAUCUGCAAGAUGCAGUUGCACAGGCAUCCAGCUUGAUCAGUCUUGCAGGUCACAAUGUUCGCAUAACACUGCAAAACAAAGCAGAGACUGCUUUGGACUUGACUCACUGGUAUGUCCUCCAGCGGACCCGUGCACCUUUUGAAAGGUUCAGAGAUGGCUUAAUGUCUCUAGGUGUCCUAGAUGCUAUCCAGAGAUACCCUCAACAGAUGAAGUGCCUUUUUUUGAAGGCUGAAAAGAGUUUAACAGCAGCUGAUGUAG